rnacentral:rRNA from 1 species
AACGAACGCUGGCGGCAGGCUUAACACAUGCAAGUCGAGCGAGACCUUCGGGUCUAGCGGCGGACGGGUUAGUAACGCGUGGGAACGUGCCCUUCUCUACGGACUAGCUCCGGGAAACUGGGAGUAAUACCGUAUACGCCCUUUGGGGGAAAGAUUUAUCGGAGAAGGAUCGGCCCGCGUUGGAUUAGGUCGUUGUUAUGGUAAUGGCCCACCAAGCCGACGAUCCAUAGCUGGGUUGAGAGGAUGCUCAGCCACACUGGGACUGAGACACGGCCCAGACUCCUACGGGAGGCAGGAGUGGGGAAUCUUAGACAAUGGGGGCAACCCUGAUCUAGCCAUGCCGCGUGAGUGAUGAAGGCCUGAGGGUUGUAAAGCGCUUUCAGCUGGGAAGAUAAUGACGGUACCAGCAGAAGAAGCCCCGGCUAACUCCGUG